UCCUCACGUACUCCCACCAGUGCUCAUAUGGAAAGGGUCUUUUUGUCUUGGCAACACUCAUGUAUUUGGCACGUACCCUCUCCAUAAGUUGCUUGUCAUCGCUCCCACUAGGCCACGUACUUUUUUCAACAUUGUAGAUACCAUUGAACUUUGUAACCUUCUUUGUGGUCUUGGUCCAGUGGUUCUUGCAUUGCCCAACUGUUUUCUUCCGCUCUUUUGUUGCAUAUUUGUUGUACUCUGCUGCGACUUCCUUCCAAUAGGUCUCUGCCCUUUUGGAGUUUCCAUCAAUCGGAUCACAUGAAUUGUGCACCCAAGCUGCUAUGAGAAGUUCAUCCUCACGCUUACUCCAGUUCUUGCCUUUUCCUUUUUUCUGAAUCUCAUCAGGACUACUAUCAAUGCCAUCUUGAUUAUUGACAGCCGGAUCUUCAUCCACUUGAUAUGCAGGUGACAUGGGAGAACUAAAUCCAACUGGACUAUUCUCAUCUCCUCUUGAACUAGUGCCUCUAGCAGAUCCAAGAAAAGGUAUGCAUCCAGCAGGAGAUGCUGGACUGCUACUUGAGCCUGCUCCAAAUGCUCCUGGAGGGUACUGCCCCAUGUUACCUUGGUAAGCAACACCAUGGUAGCCUGGAGGUAUGGAUGGAACUUGCUGGUAACCUCCUUGAGCAUAUAAAUUUGCAUGGUGUGGGUGUUGAUGCUGGAAACUGGGAAUAUAAUGUGUGGGUGGAUAAUUCAUAUGUGGAUGAUGGGGAUGGAAACUAAUUGGGCUCUGUGGAUUUUGCAGGUUGUUUGGGCUCUGUGCAUCUGAAGGUGAGAAGGAGGAGUUCAUCAUGCUUGUGAAGCUUUGAGAAGAUGAGUGCUCCAUGUUUUGGGGGAGAGUUUUUCCAAGAUCUUCUUGUGCUUCUAUGAGCUUGUUCUGUACAUUUUAUAGACAGAUUCUCCAAACGGGUAGAUUUUUCUACUGCAGUGCAACGGUCAUCUAGAAAUUUGAGUGCUCUGGUUUGCUGUAAAUUGAAUGAUGUUUGGUAUGGAUUGGAUGAUGUUGCUCGGUGGUGGUUGGGUAGGAAUGCUCCUGUAUAGAUGGCAGUUAUACUUUAGUAUAUUUUAUUGUAGUGCUUGAAGUGGGCACCGGAGCAGCUACUUGCUCCGGCUCCCUGGAAUAUUUUUAUGGCACCGGCUGGGCUAUGGAAGGCAUCGGUGCCAAAUGAG
rnacentral:lncRNA from 1 species